CUACAUCUACGAUCCAUAUGAUAAGCAAUAGUGGCCCGUAGCUCAUACAAGUGCAGUAUCCAUAUUAGAAGGUUCUGCACACUUUCCUGCUCCAUCAUUAAUAUAGUUGAGUACUACAAUAUGAGUGGCAAAGUACAGACCUAUAACCGUAUUUCAAAUAGGCAUAAGAGGGAGAAUAUAUACCCUCUGGGAGUGUCACCUCCUUAAUGGUUCCAACAAAUUGAUAUCGUUGUUUGACUACUUCUGUAAGAAAUAUAAUGUUCCAAUAAAUUGGUAUCCAGAUUUAAUUUGACUACUUCUCUAAAAAACUUACUACAUGUAGUGCGUAGACACUUGAAAUCUGAAAAUCGCAAGAUCCUCCUCGUCCCCGAAAAUCGUGAGAUCCUCUUCGUCCCUUGGAACACCUCACAGGUGUAUCAGCUACACACCAUGGGUCGUGGUCGGCGGUUCCCAAUCUUUAGGAAGAAAGGCGGCCAUGGUGAGCUUGCCAUGUACUUUAAGCGGCUCCACUCUUCACAUCAUGUCAUGAAAUGUCAUUGUCGAUUGGCGGAAAUCCAUUAGAAUCUCAGCCAUCUCAUUUCUUCUUUCAGCCACAUCUCACAUAAGCCAAAGCUUCAGAAUUAGAGUACUGCGUGGAUUUUUAAACUUAGUAAACUGUGUAGAAAUGGUACGAUGAGAACAGAGCAGUAAGGUGAUCACCUUAGAAAGUUUCUGACUAAUGUGAGUUUUUUCAUAACCAAAAGCACCAGGAAUAGCACCAUGUUCCUCCAAAAACUAAGGGGAGCAAUGCAUCACGCACACGCUGGAACCAUUUCAACAUAGGCAAGAUUGAGAUUUAAUGACGUCCGAAGGAAAUGAUAAAACAACAUCUGGAAAUUUUGGGCAUGUAGGAGGAGAAACCAUGAUAAAUAAAAAUACACGUUUUAUUAUGGAAAUUGAAGCUCAAGAUAAUUCGCAGACAACCUAUCCUAUAAGAAGAGGUGUAUCCACAGAAGGUCUCUAUGUAAGAACAUGCCAUGACUGCCGCUCAAUAAGUUCCAUGCAUUAAGCUAGUAAUUUAGUCCUUAAAAAGUCAAAUAAAUUAACUUUCUUACCUGAAGCAUAGUAAAUUCUUUUUGGAUGCCCUGAUAUUCCAACUCUAGUAUUGUAUCUUGCAUACAAAGCAACAUCAGUUUUUCAAAUAAAGGCAAGCAAUGGUAGAAAACAUGGGUUGAAGCAUACUAACUUCUUUUUGGAUGGCCUGAAAUUCCAACGCUAGUACUAUAUCCUGCAUACAACUCUAUACCGUAUCCUGCAUACAUAACAACAACAGUUUUUCAAAUAAAGUUAAGAAGUGGUAGAAAUCAUGGAAUCAAGGCUGUCUUGACCAAUUGGAGCUUUGUAAAUUGCUUUCCCAUGGAACUAAGCGGAAGGGCGACAUGGUGGUUC
rnacentral:lncRNA from 1 species